GGGCGAAUGGUUUAGUGGUAUAAUACUCCCUUAGCAUGAUUCAUUCUGCCUUAACUGGGAGUGGUCCAGGGUUCGAUUCCCUGUUCGUCCA